GUGUUAGGAUUUAUGUUUAUGCACUAUAGCCGGGUAGCAUAUAGGUUGAAAAUUAAUAUUGUUUUGUUACACACACACACACAAUACAGAGGGGUGUGUGUGUGUAGGUGUGUAAGGACUGACCACCACAGGCCAUAAAAGCUGUGGACAGUCUGGAGAGGGGAGGGGUGCAUCACUCUGGGCCAACAAGGGUGGUGAAGAGACUGUUCACUACCAUAUUAGGAAUUGUUUGAGUGAAGAAUCGAGGGUGACACAGGAUGGAGCUGCUCUACCCAACCACCAGAUGUGGAGAAGGAAAACGCCAAGGGGCUUGGACAAGUUCGGGGGCCCACAAAGGAGGAGCAAGAGUAUUAACCAUGCUCAACCUCUACUAUGAUAGGCCAAAGUUGAGAAUAAAAUUGUCAUAGUAUAAAAACUACUAUUUGAGUACAUUCCACAGUUCUCUGAUCUACCCUACGCGGAGAUACAGUGAACCCGUAUAUACGAAAAUUGCAUUUACCAUUUAUCGUUUGAGUUUAAUUAAAAUACUUAAAAUAUAUUCGGUGACUAUGAAUCACAUUUUGUCCUGAUGCCAGAUUUGAACUGACGCAAAUCUCUUUCAACAGUCAACGUUGACCAAGGAGAACCAAGAAUUUCAUGUAAAAGGACUUACAAACAAUGAGAGAAGAUGGCCUCAUCAGCAGAGGAUGAUGCCAUAACCGCAGUGGUAGAUGUUGAGAUCCCUAAGCAAGAGGUACAGGAACCAACUGUGGUUGCUGUAGAUGAUGAUAUAGCUCCCAUAGAUGUGUAUGUAUCAAGCCACCCUGACCAUACAACUGAAAAUAUGAAAAUGUAGAUGCUGAAAAGGAAGAUCAAGAUGGAGGCUUUGGAAGAGGAGAGGGACUUUCUCUGCAAAACUGUUAACCAGUUGUAUGGGCAAGGAGGUCAGACUCCCUAGGACCAAGUCCUGCCUCUUCUGUGGCAGCCACACCUACAAAAAGAAGGGAAGCAUGUCCGCUACUUUCCACAGCGUGGGAGUGGAUCGCAACACUGUGGCGAUGAGUGCCCCUCUGGUAGAGAUCAUGCUUGUGGUGCCGGAGUUCCUUCAUUCACAGGCAGUGUUUGACAGCUCUAAAGAGAGGCUCAACCAAUAUGCAAGGAGGAUCACCAAAAAUGUAACAGCAGAGGUGAGCUAUGCUGUAAAAUAGAAGAGGUGUAAUGAACUGCUCCCUAUUACUUAUAAGUUCAAAUAAACACUGAUUAUGCACACUCAUUCACACACCCACACGUGCCCGCACACAUACACACACCGGGUAGAGAUAAUGUAAGAGUAAGAUAGUGUGUCCCUGCUGUAAAACAAUCAUAAAGAUGUUAGUCUGUUUUCUGAGAUGUGGUGCAAGGAACUGCUCCAUAUCCCCUAUAAACUUGAUUUUGCACACAUUUAUGUAAAAGAUACAGCAUGUUCUGGCUGUAAAUUCGAAACAAAAUAAACAAAAUAUUGUGAGUGGUUGACACUUGCUCCAGAUGUACAGUGAAGAGAGCCAUCUGUACAUGUUCCACAAAGAUAAUCACAAAAUGAAUUCAAAUUCUAAAAUCAAAAAGGAGCGAAUGAUUUUAGAAUGGCAGAGCGCCGUUCCUGAAUGCAUAUAGUGGAAACACUGCAAAAGACAUCUACAUGCCAACCCCUAACUAUAGAAUUCCCAAGUACUGUACUGGGUAUCUGCCAUAGUUGUAACAUAGUAACUACAUAAUGAUUACAUGAGUAAUUCACAAUGUGCUUCACUUUACAUUAAAUUGCUUGUUCCUGAGCAGAAACAUUGUAGUUACGAUACUUUUCUUUAUAACAUUGUAAUAAGUUACAUGUUGAUAUCCUGUGAAAUAUGUAAUUGCAUUGAAAGUAAAUUGUAAUUACACUUUUAGGUGCUGUGACAACAUUUAUUCUACAUUGAAGUGUAUUUUCCCAAUGAUUUUAAUAAAAAGGUUUACCCUACUGUGUUUCACUUUA